rnacentral:lncRNA from 1 species
AACACCAUAGACACAUGACUUGCUGUUGAAUCGAAAUAUGAUAGGACGGAGAAAAUAUUGGUUCUGAACCAGGUUUGACGGCAGUGAUCAGUUCGAUUUCGAUCUGCUAAUUGGGAGCUGAAGAAAUAUUAAACCAAUAGAUCUUAAUUUCUAAAUAUUAAAAAUUAAAUUAAUUAAACAUAGAUGGUGUGGAAAGGAUUUUUUAAAAUAUAGUGAUUCGUAUUCGCCGUAUCAGAGUUUACAUCAAAGUCGACAGAAUUCGUAUAUAAAUAAGACUAGAGAAAUCAACUACGUGUAAAAAACAAUCGUAAAUAACCAUUAACAUGGCAUCAAUUGAAGAAUAUGCUCGAAAUUAACUAAUAUUUUUCUUUGGCAGUGCUAUUCUACUAUUUUCAGAUUUGAAUAUCUUGAUUAUUCCUGUGCAUAAUAUGAAUACGUAUAUGUGUGUGCGUAUAUAUAUGUUGAAGUAUAUGAUUCAAAUUCACAUCUCAAGGCUCUAAUCACCAUGAGACCUUUUAUAUUGAAGAAUCUAAUACUGUUUGGGAGGCUUUCAAUAAAGUGAUCUCAUGCAACUAAAGAAACUAGUUGCGCAUAGACAGACAAGUGUCGUGUUUUCUUAUCCAUGCAAAUAUCUCAAUAUUUAUUUUGCUUCUUGAUUUUUUUUUUUCGCGUUUCUGAAUUUUGCGGUAAACAGGUUUUACUAAGUUUUUUUAUUUGUAGACACGGGUUUUACUAAGUUAGAUUGUUUUUCAAUAUAAAAUCAAUGAUCGGUACAUAUUCCUUAUAUAUUAUUUAAAUUUUUUUAUCUAAUAUUUAAUUGGAAUUUUGUUUUGAAUAUACUUCUUCAUGAUUCUUUAAACAUUAAUUUUGAAAUAACGAAUAUGGAUCAAUAAACUACUUUUACACUGAAUAAGAUCAAAUUAAUUUAAGUGGACUGAGUUUUAAUAUCAUAUUAGGUUAAAUGUAUAUCUAAUCUAAAACUAAGUGGUAAUGGAUGCAUUAGUUCAUUUUUCUUUAUAUUAUUUAAGACUAAUUUUAAUUUUUAUCUUUAAUAAUGUACUUUUAUUAUAUAAGUAAUUUAGUGCUGUUGUUAAUUGAACAUUUAUACAUAAUCAAACAACAUACACAAUAGAUAUGGCCUUAAAAUAUGAUGCAUAAAUUAAAUUGUUCUUAUAAUAUUUCGUAGCACAUAUAUAGAACACAACUUUUUUCUAAAAACGUCGAUUAUUUUUAGCGAUUCCAUGUAGUUUGAUUUUUUGGGGUAUAACAUUGUGAUUGAUCCAUAGAUUGACUGAUACACUAGUUUAAAAAUUAUCUUCUAUUCAUAAUGGAAAACCAUUAUCAUGAAUUUUAAUGUUUCAAAAAUAAUUAUCAUCAGAAUUUUUUUUAUUUAGUUUGGAAGUACUUUGGAUAUAUGAAAAUACGCGGAAAAAUCUCUAAAGAUAAGCAUAGUUUAGGAAUAAACCUAAAUUUAAAAGUCAUAAAUAAAAAUUUAUAUUUAUGUAGAUAUAAAAGUAAUAUAAUUUAGUGUGCACAUCAAAUAGAUGAACUUGAAACGUGUUGGCAUUUCAAUUCCGUUUUUCAUUGCUUGGCUACGUCCAGAUUAUGAAUCCUAUACGUCAUUGAAAAUUAUUCAUGAAAUUAUAAGUAUAUUGGUUGAAAUCAUAUAGUUUAUCUAUUAUUACAAAUCUUAUGAAUACGAAAUACCUAAUAACCAUUUCUUAAAAGUAUUAGGCUGAAUAUAAACAAAAAGAUCUUGAAAUAUAAGCUUUUUGAGGUUUGGAGGACGCAACAAAU